GCUCGCAUAGAACAAAACGACCAAGAAGGCGACACUUCCGGCUGCCAUCUUUGUUUGGAACGGUUUGCAACUUUGGAGAAGGUUGAUAAAAUAAAUCCUCUUCGGUUUAUCUUUGUUCCAGCUGGAUAAAGGUUUUUGAGGUGAACAUGGAAAUAUCGUCAAAUAGCGAAGCAGCACAUUUACACCCAACUCUAAGAAAACAGAAGAACUGGACAGCAUCUACAGACAUAUUUUCCAACAAAGAAGAUGGCUCUCCUGUGCUGGAUGGCAGUGGUGCUGGCUUUCUUCCUGUCUGCUGAUAACAGUGUGGAUGCUGUGGACAGCAGCAGGCUUGCAACACUUGUAAAUGGCAUCUUGAGAGAGUACAGAACACCUGGCAUGUUCAGUCUGGCUGUAAGUAUCCCAGAGGACCAGAACCGGAACAUUGAGGAUAUCCUUCAGGAAGUCUUCCUUAGUGAUCCUGGUGACGACGUGAAGAAUAACAACAAAAACGAGGUGUACGUGGGCAGCAGGGUUGUUGCAGCCAAAGUUCUGGAACGGUCCAAUAGAGGAGCGGAUCAUGCAGAGUCACGCGUUGUGGACCAUCUGAGCGAAUUGUUCAAGAAGAAUAAUUCCAAUGAUUUCUUGCUUUUCUAUGUUUAUGCCUCCCCAUGUGUUGAAAAAUGUUCAAGCGACACACAUCACGAGAGCAUCCUCAGAAGGAUUAAUGCCAUACGGGAAUGGAAAAGUUACGCUGUUGUGUUUUCUAAAAUAUUUAAACCCAGAAAUGGUCAGGCCAAUACUGAGCAAGAGCUGAGUGGAGCCCUUCAGCGACUCGGGACGUACCAGGGUACCGAAGGUCAAAUCGGUCUAAACAACAUAUUCCGUUGUGACAAACGAAAUAAUUGGAUGCAGUGCAAUAGCUGCCUCAGUGGUAAUCAAGUUCAACAGUAUUGUAUUUCAGAUCCAAAGAUUCAAUGAUCGGGGGGCUGCAGCUGCGGUAUCGAGGUCCCGCCUGCACACCAUGUCAAAAGUCUGGAGCUCUGAAUGAGCAGGAAUCACUUCAUGAUGUGAAUGUGAAAGCUGCUCAUUUAAUUCUGAGUAAAAGGUUUUGGUACAAUUCUAUUAUAUUUGGCUUACAGGAGACACACUCUUACUUUGAUGCACAGAUUUGAACAUUAGCAGGAAUGUAUCACAACAAGUGAAAGCAGUCAUCUGUUUAUUUGAAUGUGAAAUUGCAA
rnacentral:lncRNA from 1 species